rnacentral:rRNA from 1 species
AUGUCGACCGACGCCGACCGUGCCGCCGCUGAGAAGGCCGAGGCUGACAAGAAGGCCGCCGAGGAUGCCGCGGCUGCUGCCACCGUCACCGCCGCCGCGUGGACGAUUGGAGGGUAUACAUCGCUUAUCCCUCUCGUGUUUCUUUCUGUUGUAGCAGUACUAGCGAUAUGCGUAGAUGUUUCUACUAUGUGCGUAGUACAUGCUCUGUUAGAUCGUAAUCAGUGUGUUAUCAAUGCUGUUCAUGUCAUGCUCAUGAUUUAUUCAUGGACUAAUUUAAUCGAAAAACUGCCUAUUUAUUCAUCAGAGGCAGGGGCAUCCUUUCUUGGUCUGCAGCUUUCACCUCUGUUGCUUCAGAUAGCGGCACAAGUGGAGCAGGAGGCUACAAUUGAUUUUAUACUAUGGCCUGUCGUGGAUAAUCGGUGCAUGGUAGGAAGAACAAUGGCAAAACGAGGACGGACUGAAGGCAGCGGAUUCCGUGUUGGUCGGAGAGGAAGACAUUGUCUUUAUCUAAGUGCCUCCUGCAACCAUCUCCUUGUAGCCUCAGAUAAUGACUUCAGAUGGAGAGGGCCGUAUAAAUGGCAUGCCAGGGAGCCACCAUUACCUAUGUUCGGGUUGGUUACCAUAAUCAAAUCCUUUUUUGCCCUUCUAAAUUAG